GCCCGCUUGGCUAAGUGGUAUAGCGUGUCACUAGUAUAUCGUCUAUUCAUAAAGAAUCAGGUCACUAGAUGCCAUGACAAGAUCAGCGGUUCGAUUCCGCUAGUGGGCA